AGGGUUCCGCCAAAUCUUGGGCUCAAUUGGCCACUACCCAAACCUUCUUCCCUCAGAAUCUAAAGCCCGAAAUCUCUUAUCCAAACUCGCUUUUUUCACCUUUCAGGUUCUGAACCUUGUUGAAGAGAUCCCCAUACAUUAUACAUUCUCUACCGGUCUAUAGAAGAUAAGACACCAUCCAUGGCAGCUCAAUCCAGUAUUAACAGUACUUUCAUAUGCUACUCAUUUCCUUCACAAAACCCUAGUUUCAAAAUCCCCAAAACCCCCUUUCCCAUUCCCUUGAACCCCAAACCCCUUUUUCUGUGGUCAUCCACCGAUACUCCUGGCAUCAGAACAAAACUCAGUAUGAAACUUUAAGGACUCGCUGUUUCACCAGAAGCAUCUACUGCAAACCCAAUAUCUUCUGAAGAAAAUGAGAAAGUUGAGGUGAUUGUGAAGGUGAUGGAGACACCAAGGCUGGUACUGAAGUUCGUAUGGAUGGAGAAGAACAUUGGGGUGGCGUUGGAUCAAGUGAUACCAGGCUAUGGCACCAAUCCACUGAGCCCGUACUACUUCUGGCCAGGGAAAGAUGCAUGGGAGGAGCUCAAGUCCACUCUAGAGAGUAAGCCAUGGAUAUCUCAGAAGAAGAUGAUUAUUCUUCUCAAUGAGGCUACUGAUAUCAUCAAUUUGUGGCAGCAGAGUGGUGGCAAUCAAUCUUAGAAACACUAAUCUUGUUUAUGAGUCAUUACAGAAACAAGCCUUGUAAUUUCGUCAUUGGGGUUGCUGAUGCUUCUUUCACCCUCCAUAUCUGAAAUCUGAAUUUUACCAGAUCUUUAGUAGUUUUGGUUUGUAUUGCCAUUGAGAGUGUUCAUAACACUACAGAAUGCCAUGUAAAAUGAGGAAAACUCUCACCAUGGUGCAA